AACGCGAAGAACCUUCCCUACCCUUGACAUCCACUAAGAAGCAGAGAUGCAAUAGGUUCUCGAAAGAGAAAGUGACACAGGUGUGCAUGGUGUCGUCAGCUCGUGUCGUGAGAUGUUGGGUUAAGUCCCGCAACGAGCGCAACCCUUGUCUCUAGUUGCUACGAAAGGGCACUCUAGAGAGACUGCCGGUGACAAACCGGAGGAAGGUGGGGAUGACGUCAAGUCCUCAUGGCCCUUAUGGGUAGGGCUUCACACGUCAUACAAUGGUGCAUACAGAGGGUUGCCAAGCCGCGAGGUGGAGCUAAUCCCAGAAAAUGCAUGUAGUCCGGAUCGUAGUCUGCAACUCGACUACGUGAAGCUGGAAUCGCUAGUAAUCGCGA
rnacentral:rRNA from 1 species